AGGUGCAAUCGUACCAACACUAAUGCACCGGAUCCCAUCAGAACUCUACAGUUAAGGGUGCUUGGGUGAGAGUAGUACUAGGAUGGGUGACCUCCUGGGAAGUCCUUGUGUUGCACCCC
rnacentral:rRNA from 1 species